AUGUGAUUGGUAUCACUCGGUUCGUCCAUGCUUCUGUUGCGAGGUUUGGUGGAUUUGAAAGUGGUACUAGCGUUCCGCUCGGGUUGUGUGCCAUACAGCUCAUGCGGUCGUUAGUGUCUACUGUUCUCUUGGAUGCGGUGCAUGCGUUUAACGUGGGCUCUUGAUUGUGCCCCGUCUAGUCCCUCGGAAUUAUCGUUUGCCAUGAACGACGCUUGCCGUCGUGCCUGGGUUGCUUUUCUGCUUGCGGGGGCAACACUUGCAUGUCGCGCAUAGUUGUUGGUGGAUGCUACCUGGUUGAUCCUGCCAGUAGUCAU
rnacentral:misc_RNA from 2 species